rnacentral:rRNA from 1 species
AGCGAACGCUGGCGGCAGGCCUAAUACAUGCAAGUCGAGCGGGUCCUUCGGGAUUAGCGGCGGACGGGUGAGUAACGCGUGGGAACGUGCCCUUUGGUACGGAACAACUGAGGGAAACUUCAGCUAAUACCGUAUGUGCCCUUCGGGGAAAGAUUAUCGCCAUUGGAGCGGCCCGCGUUGGAUUAGGUAGUUGGUGAGGUAAAGGCUCACCAAGCCUACGAUCCAUAGCUGGUCUGAGAGGAUGACCAGCCACACUGGGACUGAGACACGGCCCAGACUCCUACGGGAGGCAGCAGUAGGGAAUCUUGCGCAAUGGGCGAAAGCCUGACGCAGCCAUGCCGCGUGAAUGAUGAAGGUCUUAGGAUUGUAAAAUUCUUUCACCGGGGACGAUAAUGACGGUACCCGGAGAAGAAGCCCCGGCUAAACUUCGUGCCAGCAGCCGCGGU